rnacentral:rRNA from 1 species
AGUUUGAUCCUGGCUCAGAUUGAACGCUGCGACAAGCUACGUAAGUCGAACGGCAGCACGGACUUCGGUCUGGUGGCGAGUGGCGAACGGGUGAGUAAUGUAUCGGAACGUGCCUAGUAGCGGGGAUAACUACGCGAAAAGCGUAGCUAAUACGCAUACGCCCUUCGGGGGAAAGCGGGGGGACCUUCGGGCCUCGCACUAUUAGAGCGGCCGAUAUCGGAUUAGCUAGUUGGUGGGGUAACGGCUCACCAAGGCGACGACCCGGGCUGGCUCGAGAGGACGACCAGCCACACUGGGACCGAGACACGGCCCAGACUUUCACGGGAGGGCAGUGGGGAAUUUUGGACAAUGGGGAAACCUCCUGAUCCAGCCAUCCCGGCAAGUGAUGAAGGCCUUAAUAAAGCACUUUGGGCAGAAGAAACUGCACGGGAUAAUACCCCGCAAUUGACGGUACCUGCAGAAUAAGCAUCAUUAACGACAGCAGCCGCGUACACAGUAAGCGUUAAUCGGAAUUACUGGGCGUAAAAGCGUGCGCAGGCGGUUCGGAAAGAAAGAUGUGAAAUCCCAGAGCUUAACUUUGGAACUGCAUUUUUAACUACCGAGCUAGGAGUGUGUCAGGAGGGAGGUGGAAUUCCGCGUGUAGCAGUGAAAUGCGUAGAUAUGGAGGAACAAUUACUUACAGAAGGCAGCCUCCUGGGAUAACACUGACGCUCAUGCACGAAAGCGUGGGGAGCAAACAGGAUUGAUAUUCCCGGUAAUCCAACGCUCAAACGAUGUCAACUAGCUGUUGGGGCCUCUCGCUGGUAGCGCAGCUAACGCGUGAAGUUGACCGCCUGGGGAGUACGGUCGCAAGAUUAAACUCAAAGGAAUUGACGGGGACCCGCACAAGCGGUGGAUGAUGUGGAUUAAUUCGAUGCAACGCGAAAACCUUACCUACCCUUGACAUGUCUGAAUCCCGAAGAGAUUUGGGAGUGCUCGCAAGAGAACCGGAACACAGGUGCUGCAUGGCUGUCGUCAGCUCGUGUCGUGAGAUGUUGGGUUAAGUCUCGCAACGAGCGCAACCCUUGUCAUUAGUUGCUACGAAAGGGCACUCUAAUGAGACUGCCGGUGACAAACCGGAGGAAGGUGGUAGAGAUGACGUCAAGUCCCUAUGGCCCUUAUGGGUAGGGCUUCACACGUCAUACAAUGGUCGGGACAGAGGGUCGCCAACCCGCGAGGGGGAGCCAAUCCCAUGAAACCUGAUCGUAGUCCGGAUCGCAGCCUGCAACUCGACUGCGUGAAGUCAAAUUCCAGUAAUCGCGGAUCAGCAUGUCGCGGUGAAUACGUUCCGGGUCUUGUACACACCGCCCGUCACACCAUGGGGAUGGUUUUACCAGAAGUAGUUAGCCCAACCGUAAGGAGGGCGGACACACGGUAGGAUUCAUGACUGGGGUGAAGUCGUACCGGCAGUAG